CGGCCCCGGGUGCCCGCGAGUGAGGUGGAGGUACGGACGGCGGCGGCAGCGGGGCCGGGCGGCAACGCGGCCGCCUUGCAUGGGCUGGGUCUCGGCCUCGCCCCUCCUGCUCCACGCGCGCGGUGGCAGCGGCUGGGGACGUGCCGCCCGGGCCCCGCUGCCUUGGGAACCCCCUGCCCGGUGUCUGUGGCCUGUUCCGCCUCGGCUGCCCGGUGUCCUACGGGCUCCUUUGCGCUUCGAGGGCUGCAGCGGACGACGUUCGGGGCGGAGAGCGAGCGCCGGCUGCCGUUUGGGUCGGCGGGCGGGGGGGGGGUGCCCGCGAGGCUGCUUGUGGAGGUCCCAGACCCGCUUGGGGGCUCCCAGGCGGCCCGCUCCGACGGAAGUUGCGCUCUGUGGCAGGAGGGCCCCAGGCGGCCUCCCGACACACGCACGGGCUGGCCUCAGCGGACCGAGCCGGAUAGGAACCUGCCACUUUUAGGGGAGCCUUGGACAGUGAGGCCGCCGGAGACGCCCCGGUCCCCAGCGAAGCUUAACUGCCCAGCUUUGGAGGCUCCGGGGCCUGCCCGGGCUCCAGGCGCGGGCUGUGGCUGGCUGGUAAUGGGCAACCAGGAGAAGACUUGGCUUGGCCGCGUCCGUUUUUGCCCGAGGGUCUAAAGUCCCUGGAGGAUGACCUAGCACUUCACAACCCCACCGGCCUUCCCAGGGUCCCCGUGGACACGCCGGCCCGACCUGUAGUUGGCAGGUCGGGUCGCACUUGCGACGCUGCUCCCCGUCGGAUGCCCGGGCCUCGGACCAGGCACGCCUCUUGAACUCACGUUUAGUACAAUCGUUUCUUUUCAAAGAAGGGGUUUUCUUUCUCUUUUUUUUCCUUUUGUGUUUUUGUUGACUUUUUUUUUUUUUUUUGAGAAGGGAAUUUGGGGUAGGGGAGAUAAAAAGAAGAAUCUGUCACCGGGGUAUCCCUAAAGGGGAUUAAGGGACCGCCGGUGGUGCGAAUCGGAUAUCUUGAGUCCAGAAUGGAUGUGGCAGACCCGCAGCAGCUGGGCAUGUUUACAGAGGGCGAGCUGAUGUCAGUGGGGAUGGACACGUUCAUCCACCGCAUCGACUCCACCGAGGUCAUCUACCAGCCCCGCCGCAAGCGGGCGAAGCUCAUUGGCAAGUACCUGAUGGGGGACCUGCUGGGGGAGGGGUCCUACGGCAAAGUGAAGGAGGUGCUGGACUCGGAAACGUUGUGCAGGAGAGCCGUCAAAAUCCUCAAGAAGAAGAAGUUGCGGAGGAUCCCCAAUGGGGAAGCCAACGUGAAGAAGGAAAUUCAGCUACUGCGGAGGUUGCGGCACAAAAACGUCAUCCAGCUAGUGGAUGUACUGUACAAUGAGGAGAAGCAGAAGAUGUAUAUGGUCAUGGAAUACUGCGUGUGCGGCAUGCAGGAGAUGUUGGACAGUGUGCCCGAGAAGCGGUUCCCUGUGUGCCAGGCUCAUGGGUACUUCUGCCAGUUGGUGGAUGGUCUGGAGUAUCUGCACAGCCAGGGCAUUGUGCAUAAGGACAUCAAGCCGGGCAAUCUGCUGCUUACCACCAGUGGCACACUUAAGAUCUCUGACCUGGGUGUCGCCGAGGCCUUGCACCCUUUCGCUGAGGACGACACGUGUAGGACAAGCCAGGGCUCCCCAGCGUUCCAGCCACCUGAGAUUGCCAAUGGCCUAGACACCUUCUCCGGCUUCAAGGUGGACAUCUGGUCGGCUGGGGUUACCCUCUACAACAUCACAACAGGCCUGUACCCCUUCGAGGGGGACAACAUCUACAAGUUGUUUGAGAACAUCGGGAAGGGGGACUACACGAUCCCAGGCGACUGCGGCCCCCCACUCUCGGACCUGCUGAAAGGGAUGCUGGAAUAUGAGCCAGCCAAGAGGUUUUCCAUCCAGCAGAUCAGGCAGCACAGCUGGUUCCGGAAGAAGCACCCACCAGCUGAGGAGCCGGUGCCCAUCCCACCAAGCUCGGACUGCAAGGACCGGUGGCGCAGUAUGACUGUGGUGCCCUACCUGGAGGACCUUCACGGCUGUGCUGACGAUGAAGGGGACGAGGACCUCUUUGACAUUGAGGACGACAUCAUCUACACUCAGGACUUCACCAUGCCUGGUGGCGAGGAGGCGUCUGAGGCAGGGCUUAUAGAGGAACAAAGCACCCAGCAGAGCCAGUGCCCAGACCUUUCUGCAGAGGAAGCUGAGGCCGGGGGCACACAGGAGCUCGAGGAGGAGCUCCAUGCUUAGCGUAGCCACCAUGCCCACCUGGGCUGUAGGGGCCAGGCCAAGCACCUCCCACGGGCCCACACUGACCCUGUCCGGGUGUCGGAGGGAGGCUGGGCAGUUUUCCCUGUGGCUGGUUGUAUCCCCUUGCAGCCUUCAUGGUUCUGUGAUGUUUUGGGACUGGUUCUGCAGUCCCCAUCAUAAAGGAUUGCCCAAUGUGUGUGCGUGUGGAAGGGGGUGAUGCUUAUGUUCUCUCCCUGGCUGUCAGCCUGAUGGUAGGUUUUUGUUUUGUUAAAAAUUGAUUUUUUGUUUUUAGAGAGAGAGAAGCGUGAUUUGUUGUUUCACUUUUUUAUGCAUUCAUUGGUGGGUUUGUUUUUUUUUUAAGAUUUUAUAUAGUUAUUUUUAGAGAGAGAAGGGAGGGGAAAAGAGAGAGAAAGAAACAUCAAUGUGUGGUUGCCUCUCACACGCUCCCUACUGGGGACCCGGCCCACAACUGAGGCAUGUUCCCUGACUGGGAAUCGAACCAGUGACUCUUUGGUUCACAGGCUGACACUCAAUGCACUGAGCCACACCAGCCAGGGCCAUUGGUGGAUUCUUGUGUGUGCCCUGACAGGGGAUUGGACCCACAGCCUUGGGGUAUCAGCACAACACUCUAACCAACUGAGCUACCUGCCAGGGUCCGGUGGUGGGUUUUUAUUGUAGAUAGAACCAGUGUGCAGCGGUAGCCUGCAGGGUGGGCAGGACCGCAGGAGCUGUGUCCCUGGUAGAGCUGGGCAGGGUCCAGAUCCUGUUGUUCUGGGGUCUAUGAUGCUCAUUGUAGCCAGCCACAGGGUCAGCUUAGACCUGGUGCCCCAGGGUCUCAAGUCACUGUGGCUUUGGCUUAGCCAUUUUCCUGUGGGGUUGGUCCUGGGGCCUGGAGUGCCUGGAGGCGAUACAUGUGUGGUGCUCUGGCCUGGGAGACCUGGCUGCAAUCCAGUCCUAGAUCUAAGGCCUCUUAGACCCUCUGUCCCCUCCUUCCCCUUCACAGAACAGGAAUGAGGUGUCUUCCCUCUCAGAGGCACUGAGACCUGUGACAGGUUACAGGCAUCUGGAUGUCAUCCUUACUGGCAGCACCUGGGUGUCAGCCACACCAGUAGGCAGUCUGUUGUCCUAACAAGGCUGAGUGAGGAUUCUAACAGGUUCCUGCAGCUGGCACCUAAGCACCUUUCAGGCCUGUGUGAGAGGCCAGGGUGGCCUUUCCCCAGUGGGGAUUCCCAGUCUGGGAAUGUCCUCUGGGCUAAGAUGUCAGGCAUCCACUUCUUUCUGACCUGCUGCGGGUCAGUGACGGGCUGUACUGGGGUCAGGACCCGUCACACUCUGGGUCACCCUCGGAGGCCCUCAGCUGUCCACACCACGGAGGUCCUGCCACCCACCCUGAGAGGUGAGCCUUGGACCAGCCAGUCGCUGCCUGCACAGUGCCUUGAGGGUGAGUGGGGCAGGUCUCAGAUGCUGUGCUGAUGGCUGGGCUCCAGGUCAUCCUCGCAGAGACCUCCUGACAUGCUCUGUCUAGCAGGAUCCUGUGAGGAGGGGUGAGCUCUGACCUGGGCACACAUGGGUGGGUGUGGCAAGUCGGAAGCCACUGGUUGGGCUCUGGACAUGCUUGGCAGAGAGGGGGCUCUGCUGGAAAGAGUUGGGGGCCCCAGGCACCUGAGGGCAGUUUCCCACCAAUGUCACAGGAGGGUAGGCCGGGUUUUGGUGUGCACUGGCUGAGCUUCGUGGGCCCCUCCCUGCAGGCCCCCUCUGUCUCAGUGAGUACAGAAGUGAAGCCCCAGGCCCAUGGCCCCCAGGACACCUCGAGGGUGAGGGUGGAGUCAUGGUAGGUCUCUGACUCUGAUCCCUUCAUCCCAGUGGGCUGUUUUGGGAGAGACACACCUGGCCUGAGCCCAACCCCUCCCAGGUCCCCCAUGUGCCAGCAAGGUGUGGCCUUGGAACAGAUGAGAGGGCCGAGGCUCUCAACCUUGUCCCAGGACCCUGGUCCUUAACCAGGUGUCUGGGUCUUGCCCUGGCUGGCUAGCCAGCUUGAGACCAGCUCUCCUUCUACCCGGGUAAGGGCCCCUGCAAACAAGACCUGGGUGGGACAGGUGGGGUCAUGCCUGGGGAACUGGGUGACUGUGUGGGGGUGGUAUUGGUCCAGGGCCCCCAUUAGCCUACACUUGUCCUCCCCCUCCUAGGACAAGUCCCAGAAGAGGAGGCCAGUCAGAAUGGACAGAGCUGGGGCCUGUCCAAGACCAUGUGCAUGAAUGGUACCGAUUCGGCGCAGCUGAGCACCAAAUCAAGGGCAGAGCGCCGGGCUAGUGCUGUCUCCAACCCUGCCCGCAAGGCCUGUUCUGCCAGUGGCAAGAUCCGUCGGCUUUCGGCCUGCAAGCAGCAGUGAGGGCGGUUGGCUGUAGCCCAUCUCUGAGAGUCCUGGCCAGAUGCCAUUGGCCCGGGUCCUCCUCAGUCUUCCCGACGACUGCUGGCCCACUGCCCACCAUCCAGGAAGGCCACUGCCAUACCCUUCGUGCUGACCACCCCUCAGGAAGCCAGGGGGUCCUGGAGGGCUGUGGCUGGGGAACAGCAGAGACUGGAGUCUACCCGCCUCCUCCCAGUUGUGGGCCGUGGACACAACCUCCGGUUGACUUUGCAAUCCCGUGCUGGGCCCUUUCCUGGCCAGGGGAGGGUGAGGCCAGGCCAUGGGGCCCGCACAGACCUCGCCAUGCACUUUACGUUUAGACUACUGGUUCUCGCCCGACUUCUCUUUACUUUGCUACACAGCACCUCCCACACCUAGUAAUGUGUUCAAACUGCAGUUAAGUGGGGUGGACUUAAGUGGGUAGAUGGGCCUGCCCACCGAGACGCAUGCCCAGUGCCCUCUGGAGCCAGGUGGCUGCCUUGUUUUUGUUGCUUGGUUGGUUCCUUUUCCUUUUUUUUUUUUUUUUUAA